AACGCACAUUGCGCCUCCUGGUACUCCGGGAGGCAUGCCUGUCCGAGCGUCAUUAUAACCCUCUCAAGCUUAAUUGCUUGGUGUUGGGGCUGGAGCGUCCCCAGGGGCGUCCCGUCCCGAAUUCCAAUGGCGGACGACGGUGUCAACGUCAGCGUAGUGAGCAUUUUGCAUCGCGAAGCGUAGUCACCCGUCCCGCCGAAGCGAACCCUUCUCUCUAGUGUUGACCUCGGAUCAGGUAGGGAUACCCGCUGAACUUAA
rnacentral:misc_RNA from 1 species